AGACCCGAAACCCGGUGAUCUAGCCAUGGGCAGGUUGAAGGUUGGGUAACACUAACUGGAGGACCGAACCGACUAAUGUUGAAAAAUUAGCGGAUGACCUGUGGCUGGGGGUGAAAGGCCAAUCAAACCGGGAGAUAGCUGGUUCUCCCCGAAAGCUAUUUAGGUAGCGCCUCGUGAAUUCAUCUCCGGGGGUAGAGCACUGUUUCGGCUAGGGGGCCAUCCCGGCUUACCAACCCGAUGCAAACUGCGAAUACCGGAGAAUGUUAUCACGGGAGACACACGGCGGGUGCUAACGUCCGUCGUGAAGAGGGAAACAACCCAGACCGCCAGCUAAGGUCCCAAAGUCAUGGUUAAGUGGGAAACGAUGUGGGAAGGCCCAGACAGCCAGGAUGUUGGCUUAGAAGCAGCCAUCAUUUAAAGAAAGCGUAAUAGCUCACUGGUCGAGUCGGCCUGCGCGGAAGAUGUAACGGGGCUAAACCAUGCACCGAAGCUGCGGCAGCGAACGUAUCACCCAAGACAACUUUACGGAGUUGACGAUUGACGGAGCGAAGCGACGUCAAAGCGUUCAUUAAAGUCGAGUUGGCUUAGGGAUACGUUCGUUGGGUAGGGGAGCGUUCUGUAAGCCUGUGAAGGUGGCCUGUGAGGGUUGCUGGAGGUAUCAGAAGUGCGAAUGCUGACAUAAGUAACGAUAAAGCGGGUGAAAAGCCCGCUCGCCGGAAGACCAAGGGUUCCUGUCCAACGUUAAUCGGGGCAGGGUGAGUCGACCCCUAAGGCGAGGCCGAAAGGCGUAGUCGAUGGGAAACGGGUUAAUAUUCCCGUACUUGGUGUUACUGCGAAGGGGGGACGGAGAAGGCUAUGUUGGCCGGGCGACGGUUGUCCCGGUUUAAGCGUGUAGGUGUGUGUUCCAGGUAAAUCCGGUUCACUUUAACACUGAGGCGUGAUGACGAGGCACUACGGUGCUGAAGCAACAAAUGCCCUGCUUCCAGGAAAAGCCUCUAAGCAUCAGGUAACAUCAAAUCGUACCCCAAACCGACACAGGUGGUCAGGUAGAGAAUACCAAGGCGCUUGAGAGAACUCGGGUGAAGGAACUAGGCAAAAUGGUGCCGUAACUUCGGGAGAAGGCACGCUGACACGUAGGUGAAGUGAUUUACUCA
rnacentral:rRNA from 1 species